rnacentral:lncRNA from 1 species
CUGUGUGCGCGCUCCGCUCCAGCCCGCGCGGCUCCCGCGCCCCGCGCGCUGCGCCAGCCUCGCCAGCUGUCGGGCGGCCUUCAUUCCGGGAGGGGGCGGGCGAGGCGCCGCCUCGAGCCGUGGCGCUCAUUGGCUGCAGACCAGAGCCCCCCGGCGCCUCGGGCGCCGCUCCGGACGCUGAUUGGUGGGAACACGGGGAGGGGGCGUGUUCUCCGCGCAGCUGGGAGGAGUCUGGAAUGAAACAGAUGGAAACAGCCAGUCUGUGAACGUUUCUUCAGGUAUCCGGCAGAGGUGAGAAGACAGGGCAGGUGGCCAUGGACAGACUCGCCAGUGUUCUUCUAGCACCAGGUUCUUCAGCUCCAAAUCAACAGCUGGGAAGGGAAACUUAUUCCUUGGCAUCUGCACAAAGGCCUCCCUGGGGCUUGGUGCUCCCCAUCCCCGCCACACACAUACAGCAUGGAUUUGAUUCUCCUGGGCCAGUGAGAAGAGCAACGCCAAGAUGUAAUUAAAGAUUUUGAGAUGAAGUGGUCAUCCUGAUUAUCCAAGUGAGCCUGAAAUCCAAUGACACAUGUCCUGAUAAAGGACACACAGAGGAAAAGACAGAAACAUGGAUGAAAAGGCAAAGUGAAGACAGAGCAAAGCCGUCCAAGCCAAGGAAUGCUGAUGGCACUAGAAGCUGGAAGAGGCAAGAAAGGAGCCUCUCCUAGGGCCUUCAGAGGGAGCGUGGCCCUGCUGACACUGCCGACACCUGGAUUUCGACUUCUGGCCUCCAGAACUGUAAGAGAACAAAUUUCUAUUGUUUUAAGUGGCUGAAUUUGUAGUAAUUUGUUAUGACAGUUGUAGAAAACUAAUGGGACAUAGGACUAGAGUCCUAAAGCCCAGUCCAUGGUCAGGGAAGUGGAGAGGGAGCUGAGGAUAUCCUCCCCAGGGGCCACAGACUCAUGUGAAUAUAAAGCCUUUUUUGGUUUCUUUUGAGUAAAUCACUCGCAAUCCCAUAGAUUUCUGAUUUUUUUUUUUUUUUUGAGACAGAUUCUUGAUCUGUUGCAGGCUGGAGUGUAGUGGCCUGAUCUCAGCUCUCUGCACCCUCUGCCCCCUGGGUUCAAGCAAUUCGGGUUCAAGUGAUUCUCAUGCCUCAGCCUCCUGAGUAGCUGGGACUACAGGCAUACACUACCAUGCCCGGCUAAUUUUGUAUUUUUAGUAGAGACGGGGUUUCACCAUGUUGGCCAGGCUGGUCUUGAACUCCUGGCCACAAGUGACCCGCCUGCCUCAACCUCCCAAAGUGUUGGGAUUACAGGCAUGAGCCACCGCGCCCAGCCAGAUUUCCAAUUUUAUAUAAGACCAAGCCCUACUUACCAGAUACUUUUAUAUAAACUAUUCAGUUGCUACUAACAUUGGGCAUAAGGCAUUGUUUUACACUUUAAUAUCAUGUACAAAACCACUUUUUUUUUGAUAAAGCAAAUCAGUGGUUUCCAAGUGGGGCGCUCAGCACAAGGUGCUGGGUUGUGUGAAAAAAUAUUGGAACUUUGGGGCUAAAAAAAUAACAAAGCAAUUAUACUUUCCUAAUCUUUUAAUGUUCAGAAGAUGAUACUUUCAAGGAUCAUUUCUAUCAUUUGUUACUAGAAAAGUUUCUCUGAAUGUGUAGAACACCAAAAAGUAUUAAACAAAAAUUUUAAAAACCCACAAAGCACAAAACGGACUCAGCUUGACAGUCAUAGCUUUCCUCAGAGGCUCCUUUGCCACCCAUGGCACAGGUGCAGCCUUGAAUGCUCUGUGAUGUGGGGGCCGGUGCUGGUAACCUCACCACCUGCACAUCAACACUCAGGGGAAUCUGAGAUAGUUUGGUCUAUUCGCAAGUGGGUAGAUGGAUUUAUAAACUACACAACCUAGGCCAUUUUUUGUUUUUGUUUUUAAAGAGACAGGAUCUGGCCCUGUCCCCCACACUGGAGUGCAGUGGUGCGAUCUUAGCUCACUGCAGCCUCGAACUCCUGGGCUCAAGCAAUCCUCCUGUCUCAGCCUCCUGAGUCGCUGUGACUAUAGGUGCAUGCCACCACACCCAGGUUUUUUUUUUUUGUUUUUUGUUUUUUUCCUGUAGAGAUGAGGUCUUUUUGUGUUGCCUAGGCUGGUCUCAAAUUCCUGGCCUCAAAAGAUCCACCUGCUUCAGCCUCCCAAAUUGCUAGGAUUUAUAGAUGUGAGGCACUGGACCCAGCCCAUGAUCUAGUUUUACCAAAAUUGAUCUUUACAAAAUGAAAAUGUUUUAAUAGAUUAUUAUAGAUUGAAGAUUAAAGAUAAUACUAAUAGUAUAAGUCCCAGAAAACCAUAAGAAAUUGGCAGAGCUUAUGUGGCUAGUAUCAGCUCUAUAUCAGCACAUUAUGAGGUAAAAUGAAAUCUGCCAAGAAGUCAGCCUCUUUGCCCCCCAAACUAAAAUGAUCAAGAGGGUCCCUUGAAAGAUGGAUUUAUGUCCACUGUCAUUCAUGAGCUCACCCUUAGUGUGUAUUGUGCCUUGCAAUAUUAUUUAUUAAUAAAAAAAUGCCAUCAAAAUUAACACUAAAAUAUUACAUCUUUAACUCAUCUUUAAAAAAUUUUUAAUGUAAUGUAUAUAUAAUGUAUACAUAAAUAUGCAUGUAUUGGAGCUGCAAAUGUCUUAAAAAAUAGAGAUUUCUAUGGACUGAACUGUGUUCCAACAAAUACAUAUGUUGAAGCCCUAAUCCCCAGUGUGACUGUAUUUGGACAUGGGGCUUUUAGGAGGUAAUUAAGGUUAAAUAAGGUCAUAAGGGUGGGGUCCUAAUCAAUUGAAUUGGUGACCUUGUAAGAGAGGGAUGAGAGAGAUAUUGUGCUCUCUCUCCCUGUGCAUACAUCCAGGAAGGACCAUGUAAGAACAUAGCAAGAAGGCAGCCAUCUGCAGACCAGGAAGAGAGACCCCACCACAACCCAACCAUACCAGCACCCUGAUCUUGGGUUUCCAUAACUAUGAAAAAAUAAACUUCUGUUGUUUAAGCUA